GUUGCUUAUAGUCAGUCUACUUAUAAGUUUUUAACAUAACUGUUUCACCCAUUAGGCUGUCUUUAGACACUAUAUUAAGCCUCCCAUCAUUCUUUCUUGUUAAUCGUUCGACGCCUACUUUAAUUACAUGCUUUUGAUCUUAUAAAUAGGAAGUAUAGCAUUGUAUAAUCAGUGAAUAAUUCUCUUUGUUGCUUGCGUAUUUGGGUUGAAAAAGCUUGAAUUUAAAGAAAUCUACUGAUAUGCUUGGUUUUAAAAUGCGUGUAGCGAUCCAAUGCGUUUUGAUCCCAAAAUCCGAUGCGCAAUGCGUUAUGCGAGGUGUUCUUUAUGUAAUAAUACUAAAAAAAUAUAUAGAGCUAAUAUUUUAACUUGUGAACCUUUAAACACUAAAAUAUAAUAUAUUUUCAUCAUCUAUAGUAAGAUUUGUUCAAUUAAAGAGCUAAUUUGUUCAAAUACCAGUCAACUGCAUAAGGCGCCACAUUAGACCACAUCAUGUGAUGCACGCAUUAUGCACUCCUGCCGGAUUUGAGAUCGGCAAAUCUUCAAGAUGAACACAAUACAGUAGUGUAAAAGUAAAGAAUUUGCUUUUAAUUUCUUCUUGCUUUAAUUCCAACCUGUGUUUAAAAAAGCGAGCUUUAAGCGCGCUUUAGGCGUGAAGCGCUGAAGCGUUUGGAAAAGCGCUUUUUUUGGUCUGAAGCGUUACAACACGUGAAGCGUUUUGAAACGAGCUUUAAGCGCGAAGCGAUGAUGGUUUGAAGCGACGCUUCAGCCUAAUCAGGUCACAUUUGGGCCAUUUUUUAGGCCCAAUAGUCUUUAAAUAGGGUUUAAAUGAGGCCCUACUUCUUUACCCUAAUAAUCAGCCGCCGUCUUUUAACAUAUCAGCCGCUGUCUUCCUCUUUCUCCUUCUAUUCUCUCUGCAACUUGAUUUCCGUUUAGAAAUCAUAAUGGCCUCAGGAUCAAACAGCACUACUGCUGCCUCGGAAAAAUCCUUCUCAUCUGGUGACCCGAGAUGAAUACGUACUUGAUUAUGAUGAUUAUUGAUUAAAGACUAUUUUUAUGUUUAUGUUUUAAGUGUGUUUCGACUUUAAUUUAUGUUUUAACUAUGCUUUUUAUGUGUUAAGUGUGUUUUUAAUCAUGUUUUUGUGUUUAUUAUUGAUUAACAAGUAGAAUAGGUCAUAUUGAUGUGUACAAUAUUUUAUUUUUAUUUUUUUUUAAUUUUGAGCGCUUCGUAUACGUGAAGCUCUCACUUCGCGCUUGGAGCUUCGCUUAAAGCUUUUGGAACCAAAACGCUUCGGAGCGCCUCACGCUUUUUUAAACCAAGAUUCCAACAGAAACAACCUUUUAUUGGCUUACCAAAUUGGACACGAAAGUUAACCACUAGACGCGCUACUAAUACCAAAAUGACUCCACUAAUAAGACUUUUACUUGAAAUAAUUACCCAGUAACUGGAGGAACAAAACACAUUAUAAAAAUAAAAUAAAGUAAAACAAUUGCAGCAGAUUGUCGACGUGCAUGGAUCAUGAGGAGUGGAGCUCUUGACUGGGUGGAACAUGGGUCACUGGUUUAUGGCAGAUAGUCCGUAUGAAUAUCUGUCCCUUUAAAACGGGUUGUGUCCUCACGACUCACAACUGGCAUAGUCAAAGUGUCCCAUGGCUGUUUUUUUGGUGUUUCAAACAACAAGAAUUUGGGUGUUUUGCAACGGUGUCCCCAACUGAAAUUUUUCGUCACAAUGGAAGCAUAUACCAAUGGCUUUCUUGGCUUGAGUGAGGCGUUUGAGGGGAAGGGAAGCCGAUUGUGAUGGAGACUGAGCAGGUGGUCGAACGGUGGUCCACAGUAGGAACACUUAUCUUGGCAUGAAGCUUGUCUUCAAUUCAUGAGCGUGUCGGGAUAAUCCCAUUACCCGAUUAGUGAUCCACUCGAAAUCAGUCUGAUAGGCGCUCAUGGAGGUGGUCUGUUGAGGUUCCCGACAAAUUGUUAUUGGACAAAUGCUUAUACCAACUGAGAGCGUCGUUGGUGAAAUAAAAGACGGCGAGAGAUAGCCAUUGAUCCUUAGGAAAUUGAUAACAGGUGAAAUAAUUCUCGGCUUGGAAUUGGGAGGGUUUGACUCGUUAAUUAAGGGAAUAAAUAUUUUUGGGGGGCAACGGGUGUUAGGCAGUGGUGAGUUGGAACCGGAACUUUGGAAGAAGCAGAGUGAAUUGAAGAGGCGCAGUAACCGAAAGAUAAAGUGCCUGUGAAUUGAGCGAUGUGGUUAACGAGGUGAUUGUUUGUUCACAUCGGCUUGCAGGGUUUCAGAGGAUUUGGCUAAAGCUUAAGUUGCUUUAAUCAAAGCAGCAAAGUGGGUAUUGGCAUGUGAGGAGGAUGACAUUGUGAUUACGGUUAACUAGUCUAGUUUCUCGUUUAAUGCUUGCAAUGGUAGUUGAGUCCUUACGGGUGACAUGAGUACAAGAAUGAAAGCACCAAUUGAUAUGUGCCGGAUUUGAGAUGGGCAAAUCACCAAAAUAAACAAGAUACAGGAACGUAAAAGUAAAGAGUUUGCUUCAAAUAUGUUCUUUCUUUAAUUCCAACAGAAACAACAUUUUACAGUUUUACCGAAUUGACCAUGAAAACUAAUCACUAGACCCAUAACUAAUACCUAAAUGACUCCACUAAUAAGACCCUUACUUGAAAUAACUGCCACUAAAAUAAAGUAAAACAAUUGCAGCAAAUUAUCACUAUUUUUUUCUUUCUAAAACAAGUUAGUUUUGAGAUAAGAUAAAAAAGAGUUGAAGUGAACUGACAUUGCAAAGGCGUUUAUCGCGUUCUUAAAUAUGUAAAUGGCACUCUACAUCAUGGCAUUCUAUAUCAAAACCAUGGCAAACAAACCGAUACCAUGAAAGAACCAAGCACAUUGAAGUUGAUUACUACUCACUUCACUUAAAAAAGAUCGAAGAUGGUACGAUUACAACAACUCAUGUCAAAACUGGAAACUAGUUAGCCGAUGUAUUUAGUAAAGUUUCACCUAGAAGUCAAAUUUACCAUAUAUAUGUACCAAGGUAGACAUGAUUAAUAUCUAUGCUUGAGCUCGAGAUGGAGCGCUAGCUUAUACGUCACUUAUUUGUUCAUGUUAUAGCUAAUGAGCUAGGUGUAGACUAGAGGUCGUAUCCAGAAGCGGAGUUUGCCGUAUUUGUAACAAGCUACACGCCUAGAUUAUAUGUCACUAACUCACUGUUACUUUUUGCUAUAGUCUAGUAUGUGGCUUGUGGGCCUUAGGUUUAGCUUAGUGGUGUUCCCUCUUCUGUAUAUACAGUUAUACAUAACCUUGUAUAUUGUAAAUAUAUGUGAAAUACACGAUGAUUCAGGAAUGUAUUUGAUUCGUCUUACACAGGUAUAUGUAUUAUUAUCACUUGUAUAGAUUUAAUAAACUAUAUGAUGUGUUUGGUAUUAUGGAUUCUUUUAUUUGUUUUAACAUUAUUUUAAGCGUCGUUAUUUCAAUUUGUGAAGAUGACAAACCAGCAGUUUUAACAAUGUGUUAAAAAUUUUCAACUCAUAUACUAAAAAAAUAAAAAUAAAAUAAACUUUACUAGUUUGCAGAGACAAACUAGCAGACAAACCAUGGACAAAGAAAACAAACCCUUCGGUCGCAAACUCUUGGAACACUAGAAAAGGAAAUAAUGCUCUAUAUAAACUAUUUAUAACGAUGAGAUAUAAUUUGUAUAUGAAGAUCAUAGAUGUGCUGUUUUUACUAGUUUAACAUUAUUUCUAGUUUUGUUUAAAGGAUCUCCCAAACUGGCGAAACGAAUUGCUUCAGUUCGGGCCAGAUUGUGAACAACCCUAGUGAUUAUCUGGUUAUUGCUUCUUCAAGUUGUGGAUAAUCAUUAUAGUGUUUGAGCAUAGUGAAACUUUUUGAGAUAUUUCAUAUUUGAUGAUUUAGGUGUCGAUAUUCAGUUUAGAAGUGAAUGCCCCGCUUGCGAUGUGCACAUAUAAUGUAUAUAUGUGUGGGCGCCUGGGGGCAAAAGUGAAAUGGUACUAACUUUAAGUCUUUAACGUUAUUUUACUAAUUUCGUGAAAAUAACGUUAAAAGCGGCGGAUGGUUAAUUAUGCAUCAUGUGGUGAUGUUGACAGCUGAAAGACACGGGGGUACAUGCACCAACCAGUCUCUGUCCCGAUUGUUUGAGUGUUAUGUGUCUUAGGUCCAAGGCUUGAUACAAAACUACAAUCGAGCCGGGGGUCUCACCGGAAGCAGCCUCUCUAUUCCUACGGGAUAGAGGUAAGGCUGUCUACAUCUACCCUCGGAACCUACCUUAGCUUUGCUAUUGGAGGGAUUUACUGGUGAUGAUGAUGAUGUGGAUGCAACAAAACUAAUUCCGACUAUCUGAUUAAAUAAUCAGAUUUUGCCAAACACUUAAA